rnacentral:rRNA from 1 species
UACAGAGGUGGCAAGCGUUGUUCGGAAUUACUGGGCGUAAAGGGCGCGUAGGCGGCCUUCUAAGUCAGACGUGAAAUCCCCCGGCUUAACCGGGGAACUGCGUCUGAUACUGGAUGGCUUGAGAUCGGGAGAGGGAUGCGGAAUUCCAGGUGUAGCGGUGAAAUGCGUAGAUAUCUGGAGGAACACCGGUGGCGAAGGCGGCAUCCUGGACCGAGAUUGACGCUGAACAGCGAAAGCUAGGGGAGCAAACGGG